CACAGGCAGGGCUGGUGUCAGGACUGACAGAUGAUAGCUGCGGGGGGCGUCUGGAAUCUGAGCGUCCUGUGUCUCACGCUGUCCCGGCAGGAAACUUUAGGGUCUUUGUCGAGGAGGUGCUCCAAGCCCAGAAAUCUGGGCCCCUUCCUUUCCCGGAGGGUCACUUACAGCCACCGACACCCAGCAGGGCUGUGUGUGUGUGUGUGUGUGUGUGUGUGUGUGUGCGUGCAUGGAUUAGAUUUUGCUCCAGACUGAAAACAUUUUGCCAGGUCUCCUAAAGAAGCUGGUUCCCAGAGUGAUUAUCUUUCCUGAGCUGAGAGCAAGGUGCUCUGUGACAGGAAGCCAGGCGGGCUUAGCAACAGGCUUAUCAGGCUGCGCUGCAGGAAUGUUCAUUCGUGUCAACAGGUCUGGCUUUGUGCGGUUCUGUUUGUUCUCGGUGCACGGGCUCCGUUCUGGGGCUGGUGUGUUUUGAUGUACAUGGCUCCCUCUCCGAGGCAAUACAUUCUGUAGGGUGUGGAGUUCUGUCUGCCUCACCCUUGUUCAGCCUGCAGGAUCUGGCCCGGGGGUACCCGGCACGGAGCUGAGUGUGCAGUAUUUGCGGUCUACAUAGAAGCCACUGGCUUCAGGCAGUAGAGUGGCCCUGGGUGGGGUGGGGGGUUACUCAUGCCUUGUAUAAUACACCAGGCCCUCAUCUGAGUCCUAGCUUAGCCUCUUACUGUACCAACUACUCAAUUUCUCUGUGCCUUGGUUGGUCCUGGAGGGUCUCCCCUAUUCAGAACAUUCUGUCUAGUUCUUGCCAGCAGCUGCAUUGCAUGGCCAGCCACUUGGUCCCUAUGGCUCCAGUCAUUGGGCUUAGAACCGGCUCCAAACCAGAUAAGCCACUGAACAUCAAAGUCCUGCUCCACAUCCCAGGUGCAUGUGCUGCCUUGACCUUGAAACUUACCCAGGCAGCCCUCUAGCCCUGGGACAAUAACCAUCCACUGUCACUUCUCCAAAGUCCCUUACCCGUUGCUUUAAGAGAUAUCUGUUUUAUUAAGCACCUACCAUGUGCAAGGCACUGUGAUGCUAUAUUAGGUUUUUUUAUUCUAAUUUUAUACCCAUUUUCCAGAUGAGAUAACUAAGUCUCAAAGAUGUUAACAGACCCGGGAGUAUGUAAGUAUUCAGUGAUAAUGCUAGGAUUUGAGCCCAGGAGUUUGGAUUAGAAGCAUAUGCUCUUGGUUUGUACAAAGCAUGAGGCACACAAUGGCCAGCAGAAAAUGGAUGUACCUAUUAGUAAUAGUUCUUUUGCAGUAGUUAUUUAGAAAGGACUCACAGCACAUCGUCCUAAUUAUUGGUUCUCCCAUGGUCCUAUCUCAUAGGACUGCGAGGUUCUAGAGGGCAGAAACUAGAAGCCCCAGCUCCUAGCCAGAAACAGAGUUGAGAGCAACUGAUCAGUAAAUGUUUGAAUGAUUAACGAUACUCCUAAUGCUUUCCUGUGAUGAUCACUGACGAGGUGCUAGGAAAAGCGCUAAGUGCUUUAAGUGCGUUAUUUUGUUUAAUUCUUAAAACAACCCUGUAAGAUAGAUACUGUUAUUAUAAGAAGUACAAUACAGAAAACAGCAGCUUGAAGAGUUCAGAGUAACUUUUCCAGGUGGCCCAGCUGCUAAGUGGCCAUUUUGGGAAGGGGACCCCAGCUGACUGCUCACCUGUGCUGUCCGGCCCCGCCCAGAUGUCCCAGCAUCCCUUGCAGCCACACCUGAUGCGCAGAGCUCCUUCAGGGUUGUCCCGUGGAGCUGUCACUCAGAUCCAGUGCCUGCUCAUCCCCAGCUGUGUGAGGUUUCCUUCUAGAAGGGACGAAGCUAGCGAAGGCUGGGGGCACACAGCCACAUGUGAAACGCAGCAUAAAGAGCCAUUAGUAAUUUGGGUCUCCUUCCUGGAGAGCAGGUUUGAUUGAAACCAUCCAAGUGGGGGCAAAGUCAUCUUUGAGAGGCACACGCUUUCGAGCACAGCAGGGAAGGGUUUCAGCGGUGUUUUCUGGGGGAAUGUCUGGGGCUUGGCACGUAGGCGGCCACGGGCUUGGUGGGUGAGGGGAAAGGCUUUGGUGCCUCCCUCUCCAGGGAGGGCCUUCCCUCUGGAACCUUCCCACAAGACUUCAUGGACCAAUGACUUAUUUCACCAUGGGGAGCUUCAUCUUACGCAAGCCGAAGAAAUGGCACUCUACCUUCACUGCCACAAGAUAAUUGACCCCUUGUGACUGUGUCCAAAGGGGAGCGGGAGCUUUCACUUUUUUUAGUGAAAGUUAAGGAACAGGGAGAAGGAAAGCGAGGGGCUUGGGAUGACGCCAGGGGGCUGCCCGGUUGGGACUGGGAUUCUGGCUGUUGACUCCUGAUGGGGCCAGGGCUUGCUUUGCAUGAAUUCAAGUAUGUUCUGUGUCCCUGGGGACUCCGUGCCCUCAUCUAAAUGAGAACAGAACAAUGGCUUUGGGACACCACACAUGAACACGCCUUGGCCAUGAGCGAGAAAAGCCAGCUGGUGACAUGGCAACACAGCCGUCCAAGGAUGGUGACAUGGCAACACAGCCGUCCAAGCCUUCAUAGAUGUGUCUUUGGGUGGCUCAGGGCUCGCCUGUCUUUGGAGCUGGCCCUCUGCACCCCCAAAGCGUGGUGAUGGUGGAUCUCGAAGCUGGGCCUUGAGAGCACCUCCUCCUCCCCCUGUAAUGAUGGUUUCUAAUCCAGAGCGCUGGGGGUUUAGUGGGAUGCUCGCUGAGACUUCCACGGGGGACAGGCCGUCAUUUCCCUGAUUGGCUCCAGGACCACCUUGCUCAUCCUCUUCUUGUUUGCACGCUGGGCUUCCUUGUUGCCAAGACUGGUGUUUGGCUGGGAUGUACUCCAUGGCCGCGCCGUGUGUUUACAGCCAACGUUUGCUCUCCUUGGCCAUUGUGUCUGUUCUGACUCGUUGCUCUCUGUGCCCUAUCGGUUGUUAAAUAUUUUGAAUUUCACUCCUGUUUGCAAGCCUUCCUUUUGUGCAGAGCCAGAACGCCCCAUACCAGCUGCAUCCUAAUGAAGGCCCAUCAUGCCAGCGACCAGCCUGUGAACCACAGGCAGCACAGAACCAAAAUGGUUUAGCUGAAUUUGAGAAGUGCUUGCUGUGCUUCCUAAUCCUUUUGAGGACUAGCCGAUGUGGCCAUCUGGGGCUCCAAGAUUUUCUAUGCCACCCACCGACACCAAAGCGGAGGCACUUUGGUUGUUGGUUUGGGUGCCAUAGCACACCUGGGAGCAGGAAUCAACCUUCCCGGUGCCCGCCCCUGGCAUGUCUAUCUCUUUAGCAGGCAGGUAGCAGGUUCUACCGCCUGCCCUGGGACCCGAUUUCCAGAUUCACUCAGCUGGGCCUUUACGAACAAGUCACUCUCCCAAAUGAGCAGGAUGUGCCAGCUUUUCUGGUAGAAUUCCUUAAGAACGUUUGUUCUUUCCUUCCUUAUUUUCUUGGGAAAGAAUGAAAGAAAGGCAGGCAGGCAAAAGGAAUGGCUGAAGAAAUGUUACAUGAAAGUGCAUGCAUUUGAGAUUCAGACAGACCAGGAUUUCUCUCGGGGCUCUGCUCCCCAUUCGCUAUUUGACCUUAGGGAAAUGACUUGAUCUUCUGGCCUCAGUUUCCUCAUCUCUAAGGUGGGGAUGAUGGGGAAAAAAUGAUUACUUUGCCAGGUCCCUGGCAGGGUUUCAGGCAUUUACCUGGAAACCCCCCAGGUAGGGAACACUGUUCUCUCCUUCUGUUGCAGAUGAGGAAGUUGAGGCACAGAGCGGUGGAGUGCCUUUUCCAAGGCCACACGGCUAAAUGGCAAAGCCUGAACUCAAACCCAGGUGGUCUGGCUGCAGAGCCCACACUCCAGACCUCUGCAGCUCUCACUCAGGGCUGUGUGGGGACGGAGUAAUUUCCAAGGAAUGUACCUGGAGUUGAGAGUGCUUUUUCUACAAGCAAAUUCUCUUCUCUUGUAAAAAAAAAAAAAAAAAAAAAAAAAAAAAAAAAAAAUUUUUUUUUCCCCCCUGUAGUCAUUAUCUUAUCUACAAGUCACAGCUUCCCUUUGGAAUACCGCCUGAUUGUAUAGACGAGGAGACCACAGAAGGAACAGUCUUGUAAGGUAGUGAGCUCCCUGUCAAGGGAAUGAUCCAAAUAGGAACAAGAUGGUCCCUUUGGGGUCAUGGUAGGGAUUCUGGCAUUGGAUUGUCUCCUGGAUUACAAGAUUCUUUGCACUGCUUGGUCCAGGAUCUGAGUAGUCCCCUGGGUUUUGCUUACGUUUAAAGAAUGGAUUGGGGGAGUUCCUGUUGUGGCGCAGUUGUUAACGAAUCUGACUAGGAACCAUGGGGUUGCGGGUUCGGCCCCUGCCCCUGCUCAGUGGGUUAAUGAUCCGGCGUUGCCGUGAGCUGUGGUGUAGUUUGCAGACGCGGCUCGGAUCCCGCGUUGCUGUGGCUCUGGUGGAGGCCGGCGGCUGCAGCUCCGAUUCAACCCCUAGCCUGGGAACCUCCAUAUGCCGCGGGAGCGGCCCAAGAAAUAGCAACAACAACAACAAAAAAGACAAAAGACAAAAAAAAAAAAGAAUGGAUUGGAGAGGGAAUCCUGAGCUAAUUCCAGUGUUCUUCCAGUGUUUCAGUGUUUUCUAGAACUCCUACACUGACCCUGCAUGAGCAGCAGAGGCCAGCUAAGCAGUUUUUGCCUGUGGCUGGAAUCUAUGUGGUUGGGAAUCAAGAAACCAAGAUUCUAGCCUAACUUGGUUGGGAAAUCAUUUAACCUCUCUGUCGCUUUUGUUCAAAAGAAAUAAUAAUAACGCUAAAGAGAUGCUCUGUCUAUAAAAUUGUAUAUCCACAUACGCUGAAAGCAUCGUGACAAUGAGAAUCAUUAGUGUAUAUUGUCCCUCUUUCUGGUGACACCUUCAAUCUAUCAUGAUUCCAAAAAGUGAUUCAGGGAUAAAUGCUAUCUCUUCUAGGGCUAGAGCCUGGGAGGAGAAGAAACUGAAAAAAAUGAGAAAAAUAGAGCCAACCCAUCAUUGUUAGAUGAGACAGCCUCCACGCCUAAAGCAGAACCUUCCCUCUAACAUAGGCAAGAGAGGAAAGAAUGGAGAAUUUAUCAUUGAGUUUCCCUGCGUACCAAGGAAAAAGGGAAAGCUCGUGGAUUACAUGUUCUCAUUGGGUAAUGCAGUCUUUGUUGAGGAAUAAGGAAACACAGGUGACAAGCUAUUAGCUAAGCAUAAAGAGAGAUAGCUUGUGCAGGAAUGGCAGAUACAUGAUGGAUUAGGUCAGGUCCUAGGGACCAGACUCCGGGACAGGUUUGUGUCCAGAAAGUUAAGGAGGAGCUGAAUGGCAACUCAGUCACAACAGAGGCAUCAAGUGACCCCACAGAAAACCCUGGAGCUGGGAUGGCCCUUCCCUGCCCCUCAUUGCAUUCUGGGAAGUUGGCCUUACUGCCCUUGACAGCAGCAGCUGGGUACUGCCCCCGGAUCGGGCGGCCCCCUUGGGCUGAAGUCCAUGCCUACCGAGGGAUUGCACUGAGCACCAUCAGCAACAGCAGCUAGGGAAUGGGUGCCUCGGUCCCUAAGGCUCCUCUAGGCAACACAUCACAGUAUCGGCUACACACAGCGGGCAGGCUGCCCUUCUUCCCUCACGUGCCACUGUAGACGUCGCUAAUGGAGAUGGCUCUCGUUACCCCAGUAUUCAGAUGAGGUCUCGGAAUGUUUUCAAAUGCAAUGCUCCGGAUAAACAUUAUCAGCCAGUUGGAAUUGGCUCUUGAGAAGGCGCCUGUUGGCUCCCUUUGGCCUCUGCAUCUGUAGGAGACACUCAUUGAUGGUAUAAUAAUACGCCUCCAAUGUUUUGCUUGCUCUUUCAGGAUCAAACCGUUGGCAAACCUUAGACAAGUUCCCUGACUUGACAAGUAGAAAAUGUGAUUUUUCAAAUGUGUUUCCUUAUUAUUCCCUUUGACCGUGUUCCCUUUAUUUGAGCUCUGGCUGGUUUUCCCUUUCCCUUCCUCAGUGCACUUUCCCCAAGAUUCGUUUCCUUUGCCUCUCCUGCUCUUUUUAAAUUUUUUUUAAAAAAUAUUUUUCUUGGCGUUCCCAUUGUGGCUCAGCGAUAAAGAACCCAACGAGUAUCCCUGAGGAUGCAGAUUUGAUCUUCGGCCCCCACUCGGUAGCUUAAGGAUCCUGCACUGCUGUGGCUGUGGCAUAGGCUGGCAGCAGCAGCUUCAAUUCAACCCCUAGCCUGGGAACUUCCACAUACCGCGGGUACAGCCCU
ensembl:lncRNA